rnacentral:rRNA from 1 species
GACGACCUCUGGCGGCGCGCCUAACACAUGCAAGUCGAACGAGCGAGAGAGAGCUUGCUUUCUCAAGCGAGUGGCGAACGGGUGAGUAACGCGUGAGGAACCUGCCUCAAAGAGGGGGACAACAGUUGGAAACGACUGCUAAUACCGCAUAAGCCCACGACCCGGCAUCGGGUAGAGGGAAAAGGAGCAAUCCGCUUUGAGAUGGCCUCGCGUCCGAUUAGCUAGUUGGUGAGGUAAUGGCCCACCAAGGCGACGAUCGGUAGCCGGACUGAGAGGUCGAACGGCCACAUUGGGACUGAGACACGGCCCAGACUCCUACGGGAGGCAGCAGUGGGGAAUAUUGCACAAUGGGGGAAACCCUGAUGCAGCGACGCCGCGUGGAGGAAGAAGGUCUUCGGAUUGUAAACUCCUGUUGUUGAGGAAGAUAAUGACGGUACUCAACAAGGAAGUGACGGCUAACUACGUGCCAGCAGCCGCGGUAAAACGUAGGUCACAAGCGUUGUCCGGAAUUACUGGGUGUAAAGGGAGCGCAGGCGGGAAGACAAGUUGGAAGUGAAAUCCAUGGGCUCAACCCAUGAACUGCUUUCAAAACUGUUUUUCUUGAGUAGUGCAGAGGUAGGCGGAAUUCCCGGUGUAGCGGUGGAAUGCGUAGAUAUCGGGAGGAACACCAGUGGCGAAGGCGGCCUACUGGGCACCAACUGACGCUGAGGCUCGAAAGUGUGGGUAGCAAACAGGAUUAGAUACCCUGGUAGUCCACACUGUAAACGAU